GAUGAACGCUAGCGGGAGGCCUAACACAUGCAAGCCGAGCGGUAGAGUUCCUUCGGGAACUUGAGAGCGGCGUACGGGUGCGUAACACGUGUGCAACCUACCUUUAUCUGGGGGAUAGCCUUUCGAAAGGAAGAUUAAUACCCCAUAAUAUAAUGAUUGGCAUCAAUUAUUAUUGAAAACUCCGGUGGCUAGAGAUGGGCACGCGCAAGAUUAGAUAGUUGGUGAGGUAACGGCUCACCAAGUCAAUGAUCUUUAGGGGUCCUGAGAGGGAGAUCCCCCACACUGGUACUGCGACACGGACCAGACUCCUACGGGGGGCAGCAGUGAGGAAUAUUGUACAAUGGGUGAUAGCCUGAUCCAGCCAUCCCGCGUGAAGGAUGACGGUCCUAUGGAUUGUAAACUUCUUUUGUACAGGGAUAAACCUACUCUCGUGAGGGUAGCUGAAGGUACUGUACGAAUAAGCACCGGCUAACUCCGUG
rnacentral:rRNA from 1 species